GAUGAACGCUGGCGGCGUGCCUAAUACAUGCAAGUCGAGCGAACAGACGAGGAGCUUGCUCCUCUGACGUUAGCGGCGGACGGGUGAGUAACACGUGGAUAACCUACCUAUAAGACUGGGAUAACUUCGGGAAACCGGAGCUAAUACCGGAUAAUAUAUUGAACCGCAUGGUUCAAUAGUGAAAGAGGGUUUUGCUGUCACUUAUAGAUGGAUCCGCGCGGCAUUAGCUAGUUGGUAAGGUAACGGCUUACCAAGGCAACGAUGCGUAGCCGACCUGAGAGGGUGAUCGGCCACACUGGAACUGAGACACGGUCCAGACUCCUACGGGAGGCAGCAGUAGGGAAUCUUCCGCAAUGGGCGAAAGCCUGACGGAGCAACGCCGCGUGAGUGAUGAAGGUCUUCGGAUCGUAAAACUCUGUUAUUAGGGAAGAACAAAUGUGUAAGUAACUAUGCACGUCUUGACGGUACCUUAACAGAAAGCCACGGCUAACUACGUG
rnacentral:rRNA from 1 species